UGAGGGCUAGCUACAGGCUUAACACAUGCAAGUCGAGGGGAAACGAUAGAAAAAGCUUACUUUUUCUAGGCGUCGACCGGCGCACGGGUGAGUAACGCGUAUCCAACCUGCCCACCACUUGGGGAUAACCUUGCGAAAGUAAGACUAAUACCCAAUGAUAUCUCUAGAAGACAUCUGAAUGAGAUUAAAGAUUUAUCGGUGAUGGAUGGGGAUGCGUCUGAUUAGCUUGUUGGCGGGGUAACGGCCCACCAAGGCGACGAUCAGUAGGGGUUCUGAGAGGAAGGUCCCCCACAUUGGAACUGAGACACGGUCCAAACUCCUACGGGAGGCAGCAGUGAGGAAUAUUGGUCAAUGGACGAGAGUCUGAACCAGCCAAGUAGCGUGCAGGAUGACGGCCCUAUGGGAUGUAAACUGCUUUUAUAAGGGAAUAAAGUGAGUCUCGUGAGGCUUUUUGCAUGUACCUUAUGAAUAAGGACCGGCUAAUUCCGUGCCAGCAGCCGCGGUAAUACGGAAGGUCCGGGCGUUAUCCGGAUUUAUUGGGUUUAAAGGGAGCGUAGGCCGGAGAUUAAGCGUGUUGUGAAAUGUAGAUGCUCAACAUCUGCACUGCAGCGCGAACUGGUUUCCUUGAGUACGCACAAAGUGGGCGGAAUUCGUGGUGUAGCGGUGAAAUGCUUAGAUAUCACGAAGAACUCCGAUUGCGAAGGCAGCUCACUGGAGCGCAACUGACGCUGAAGCUCGAAAGUGCGGGUAUCGAACAGGAUUAGAUACCCUGGUAGUCCGCACGGUAAACGAUGGAUGCCCGCUGUUGGUCUGAAUAGGUCAGCGGCCAAGCGAAAGCAUUAAGCAUCCCACCUGGGGAGUACGUCGGCAACGGUGCAACU
rnacentral:rRNA from 2 species